AAAUGGAGGAAUGAUGGUAAUGUGUAUCCCAGCUCAAUAUGAGACCUUUCGUGGUCUUGAAAUAGACUUUGUUCACAUAUAUCUGAGCCCAGCG